UUGAUGAUCCUGAAGAUCUUUUCCAACCUGAGCAAUUCUACGACUCCAUGAUUCUAUGAUUCUAGGCGGGCUGCAACCACGUCCCACAGGACGGCACAUAGCCACAGCUCAGCCUCUAACGUGCUGCCCUUCCAGCUCCCCAUCUCCUGCCUGGCACAGCCCGUACCUGGCCGCACGCUCCCUCACAGGUGAAGUUUGGCUGAUCACACCUUCCAGCAGUUUCAUCCCGUUUAUGGAGUCUCAGACAGGCAGCGCAUGAGACAACCUGGGGUUCAUCUCCCUGCAGAUGUGCUGAGUCCUGAGAGUGGUCCUCACUGAAGCCACCAGAGGACAACAAAUCUGGUUAGUGUCCAAGUGUUUGCACAGUUAGGGCCUGGAUUAUGAAACACAGCCAGAAAUAAAAACAAUAUUAACAUCUAAGGAGGAAAGGCCUUCUGACAUAACCACAGGGGCUGCUGCCUUCUUCAGAGGCAGUGGCUGCACUGGUGGCAUGCGGGUAAGCUGCAGCCUGGGAGCUCUGCCCUCUGCAAUCCUAGGCUGUGUGCAACCAGCAGGACAGUAAGCGGCCUCCCAGCACUUUUGGAGAAAUCACCAUCGAUGUGCUGACCACAUAUGGGCAUGGUGUUUUUAUACGGAACUCCUGAUGAGAGUAUAGGAGAAUAUAUCUUCUUCAGGAGGGAGAGCUUAGCAGCAUGUUGAAGGAAUAAAGGCUUGUUCUCUGUGGCAUUGGCCAGAUGCCUAUUGUAGUUUCUCCACCAGAAACCAAGAACACAUUUCCAGCCCACCAGGACACAGAGGAAGGAUCCUGACUCGUCCUGCUUGCCUCCCCUCCCUAGGUAAAGGGCAGAUACACUUAAGGAGCUCUUUAAGAUUGUUUUGGAUGACUGCAUGACCACCUUUUCCCCUGUUGGCUACCUCUCAGUGUUGGCCUUCUGCUCUGCAAAAGGUCUAGCAAGCAAGAGACCUUCAGAAUGUCACCUGGAGCUGAGAGCUUUUUGGUGAAUGUUCAUUACUCAAGGUCUUCACAGGAAGGAUUUUACAGCUGAGCAAGGCUUCUCCUUUUGGG